AUUUUGCUCUGAUUCUUUAGCGUUUGCAACUUUGGUGCAAAGAUUGAUAAAUAGAGAGAUGCAAAUAGAGAAAUUAGAGUCGAUAAAAUCGGUUGUAGCAGAUACAAGAGGGAAGCAUAGAGUUUUGGCUGAAUUGAAGAGGCUUGAACAAGAAACUCGUCAUUUAGAAAUAGGAUGCCGCCUAGCCCUAAUCCGCAAUCUUUUCACGCCACCUGCAACCCAGAACCGACUGCCGCCCUUCGCACCACCAGCUACCUCUUGUUCCAUCAAAUCCUAUUUAAUUGCAAUUAGUAGUGGUACAAUUUCUCAUUCAGAUUGGUACCAUGACAGAUAAGAUGAGGUAGGUAAUCCACUUUUGGACUUCAAUACAAAUUUUAUUACGAUACCAAUAGUAGGUAUCUAGUUUUGGGAACUUUUACAUAUUCUUUUGGUGUUUGUGUAAAUUGUUGUGGUGUUUACGUAACAAGUUAAGCAAACUAAGCAAGCCCAAAGUUCACCAUGGCCUCCAUCUCCAUCUGAGGCAUCAAUGAAGUCUGGUAGUCGUAGUGCCUGCGGAGAACCUCAAUCCAAUAUGCACAUGUGUUAUCCUGUAGGUUGACUUUUGUGGUCAAAAUAUGCAUGAAUGUAACUUCAUAUUCAUUGUGGUGAAUUAAUAUUUGGAGAAAACUUGAUUUGGCAUCAUACACUAUAAUAUAUUCUU